ensembl:misc_RNA Metazoa_SRP Metazoan signal recognition particle RNA
GCCAGGCGUGGUGGUGCACGCCUGUAGUCCUAGCCACUUGGGAGGCUGAGGCAGGAGAAUCGCUUGAACCCAGGAGGCAGAGGUUGCAGUGAGGAGAUCGCACCAUUGCAGUCCAGCCUGGGCAACAGAGUGAGACUCUGUCUCCA